rnacentral:rRNA from 1 species
UACGAAGGGGGCUAGCGUUGCUCGGAAUCACUGGGCGUAAAGGGUGCGUAGGCGGGUCUUUAAGUCAGGGGGGAAAUCCUGGAGCUCAACUCCAGAACUGCCCUUGAUACUGAAGGUCUUGAGUUCGGGAGAGGUGAGUGGAACUGCGAGUGUAGAGGUGAAAUUCGUAGAUAUUCGCAAGAACACCAGUGGCGAAGGCGGCUCACUGGCCCGAUACUGACGCUGAUGCACGAAAGCGUGGGGAGCAAACAGG